UAUUAUAAAUUUUAUUCAUUUGUACUGUUAAAAAAUGAUGUGGUUGACGAAAUAAUAAGACAAUGGCAUGCAACGUGCCACAUGUAUCUCAUGCUAAUAUACAAAGACUAAUUUUUAAUAGCAGAAAUAGAUGAAAUUUUUAAUU
rfam:Gossypium arboreum cultivar AKA8401 contig_12523_5, whole genome shotgun sequence.